GCUACGGGAGGCAGCAGUGAGGAAUAUUGGUCAAUGGUCGGGAGACUGAACCAGCCAAGCCGCGUGAGGGAGGAAGGUACAGAGUAUCGUAAACCUCUUUUGUCAGGGAACAAAGACUGGGACGCGUCCCCGGAUGAGUGUACCUGAAGAAAAAGCAUCGGCUAACUCCGUGCCAGCAGCGGCGGUAAUACGGAGGAUGCGAUCGUUAUCCGGUUUUAUUGGGUUUAAAGGGUGCGCAGGCGGUCUGUUAAGUCCGAGGUAACAGCCCGGGGCUAACCCCCGGCCCGCCGUUGAAACUGGCAGUCUCGAGUUGGAGAGAAGUAUGCGGAAUGAGCGGUGUAGCGGUGAAAUGCAUAGAUAUCGCGCAGAACUCCGAUUGCGAAGGCAGCAUGCCGGCUCCACACUGACGCUGAGGCACGAAAGCGUGGGUAUCGAACAGGAUUAGAUACCCUAGUAGUC
rnacentral:rRNA from 1 species